CUCCAACACAAAUGAGCUCAAAUGAUUAAAAAGAGCAAAUUACAACAUAGUAGAGAAAAAGAUCAAUAACAUUACAAAACUUGUGUCAAAUCCCAUUAGUAAGUGGUGAAAAAGUGUCGAGAAUGCCAUAUAAACAUGGCAUAUCAGCUGCGUUGAUAGGUCGUCGUUGUUGAUGCUGUUGUGUCAUUGCUGCUGGGUUCCUAUUUGCUGUUGUCUCGCUAUUUUCCUUGUGGAGUUUUGAUGGUAUUGCUUGUCGGUGGUGCCGCCCUAAACCGAUGCUACUGCUAGGUGGUGUUCUUAUCUUAUUUUUCCUCUUGUGUUAUUGAAUUGUAAUUGUAAGUGGUGUUGUUGGUAGUUUUCUUUUGUUGUUCUUUAACUAUUGUUGCUGUUAUAUUAUUGUUGGUGGUGAUGAUGUGUUGUUGCAGUGGUUGUUAAUUCAUUGGGUUAAGUAUUGUGAAUGAAAGUUAGAACUCGGUUCUUGAGUGAGCUAAGUUAGUUUGGUCUUCUCUCUAUAUUAUUAGUAGCUAAAUUAUGUUCUUGGUUUAAAUAAGGUGGAUAGUUAAGCUUGGUUAGUUUGGUUCAAUAAUUUAGAGUUAUGGUUCUGAAAUAUGGAUGCUAGUCGUGUGAUGUAGGUGGUGGUAUUGAAUUUAUAGUUGGUUGUGAACUGGAGAUUUAAGGAAAUUAGAAUGAUAAGUGGAGGUAAUUUCUUAGUUAGAAUUGGUUAUGGUUUCACUUUGUAGUUAAGAUUGAUUAUUGAUUGUCGUUAUUAUUGUGAGGUUAUUAUUGGAGGAUGAUUAUGGAAUUGAAUCUCAUUUGGAGAUGAAGAUUAAUAAAGGAGAUUAUGUUGGUGGAAUUGGAUUGCGGAUCAGGUUUGGUAUCAAGAGCUCGAGAAUGAAGUGAAGUAAGAUUAUGAUGUCGUCCUAUAUUAAGGAUUGAGUUUGUAUUUUUCAUAGUUGGUUUGAGAAUAAUUAUUGAUAUUUCGUUGUAUAUAAUAUUUGGGAAUUUUAGUCGAGUUAUUGGUGUAUUUAAGGAUGUUUUUCCGCUCCAAAGUUAAUUUAUUUAGGAGUUGAAUUCUAG